CGGCACUACCCACCAUAAGGCAAGGCCACCGCGCUUUACGUCAACUGCGCCUUGCAGCGAUGCCGGGCGAGUUGCGCGAAGGAAAACAACUCAGACUCUUUCAUGUAACAGAAGAAAGUCAGAUACCAAGGUUAUAUACCUUAGAAAAUUCUUCAGACUCUUUUAUAUCCAAGGAUCGUGCAGCAAACUCCAGCAAUUCUUCAGAGUUCUCCAGGGC